GAUGAAGAACGUAGCGAAAUGCGAUAAGUAAUGUGAAUUGCAGAAUUCAGUGAAUCAUCGAAUCUUUGAACGCACAUUGCGCCCAUUAGUAUUCUAGUGGGCAUGCCUGUUCGAGCGUCAUUAAGUCCACUUAAGCCCUGCUUAGUGUUGGGAGACUGCUCCAGCGGUGCUACCCUGUAGCUACCCUGCAGCUCCUCAAAGACAGCGGCGGAGUUGUGGUAUCCUCUGAGCUUAGUAACUUGUUCUAGCUUUCGAGUACACCACUUCCCCUGCCGUAAAACCCUUAAUUUUUAAUGGUUGACCUCGGAUCAGGUAGGAAUACCCGCUGAACUUAAGCAUAUCAAAAGCGGAGGA
rnacentral:misc_RNA from 1 species